UGCGACGCCAAUGCAUUUGUCAGAACGGAUGUUCAACCGAUGAUGGUAACACAUAUGAGUUUGUAGAUGCAAUUACUUGGUGACACACAGAAUUUUUAAUCAAUUUAUUGUAUAAUACUUAUAUAUAUUACAGGCAAUAUAACGUAAUAUACAUUCAUGAUUCACCAUCCCAUCGUAUUGCUCUGCAUACAAGUGUUCCAACAAUAGCGAUCAAGGCUAUGCAUUAGUCAGAUACCCGCGUGAUGAAAUUUUAAAAAAGAAAAUGGAUUGCUGCAGUAGGAAGGGGCAAAAACUGGUCACCUAGCAGUUCUCAAAAACUUUGCGAAGUACAUUUUAAGCCUUCUGAAAUUGAAUUUGUUGCUGGACGCAAAUGAGUAAAAUUUGAUUCAGUUCCAUCUCGUUUUUGUACGUGUUCCUCAGAGGAUCGAAAGAACUGUCAUGGAAAGUUAAAAAAAAACAGUUUCAUCACACGAGUAUCUGAUGCAUAGCCUUGAUCGUUAUUGUUGAAACACUUGUAUGCAGAGCAAUACGAUGGCAUGGUGAAUCAUGAAUGUAUAUUACGUUAUAUUGCCUGUAAUAUAUAUAAGUACAAUAAAUUGAU